AUGGCUUCUCAGUCUUUUGGCUAAGAUCAAGUGUAGUAUCUGUUCUUAUCAAUUUAACACUCUCUUUUUUUGCAUCUAUGGAGAUAAUCAUAUAGUUUUUUUCCUUGGCUCUAUUGAUAUAGUGUAUUACAUGUUUUUAAUUGUGUAUGUGGAAACAUCCCUGCAUCCCUCAGAUGAAUCCCA
rnacentral:snRNA from 1 species